GACAGAGGGUGCAAACGUUGUUCGGAAUUACUGGGCGUAAAGCGAGUGUAGGCGGUUUCGUAAGUCGAACGUGAAAUCCCCGGGCUCAACCCGGGAACUGCGUCCGAUACUGGCAGGCUUGAAUCCGGGAGAGGGAUGCGGAAUUCCAGGUGUAGCGGUGAAAUGCGUAGAUAUCUGGAGGAACACCGGUGGCGAAGGCGGCAUCCUGGACCGGCAUUGACGCUGAGGCGCGAAAGCCAGGGGAGCAAACGGG
rnacentral:rRNA from 1 species